GAUGAACGCUGGCGGCGUGCCUAAUACAUGCAAGUCGAGCGAACGGACGAGAAGCUUGCUUUUCUGAUGUUAGCGGCGGACGGGUGAGUAACACGUGGAUAACCUACCUAUAAGACUGGGAUAACUUCGGGAAACCGGAGCUAAUACCGGAUAAUAUUUUGAACCGCAUGGUUCAAAAGUGAAAGACGGUCUUGCUGUCACUUAUAGAUGGAUCCGCGCUGCAUUAGCUAGUUGGUAAGGUAACGGCUUACCAAGGCAACGAUGCAUAGCCGACCUGAGAGGGUGAUAGGCCACACGGGAACGGAGACACGGUCAAGACUCCUACGGGAGGCAGCAGUAGGGAAUCUUCCGCAAUGGGCGAAAGCCUGACGGAGCAACGCCGCGUGAGUGAUGAAGGUCUUCGGAUCGUAAAACUCUGUUAUUAGGGAAGAACAUAUGUGUAAGUAACUGUGCACAUCUUGACGGUACCUAAUCAGAAAGCCACGGCUAACUACGUG
rnacentral:rRNA from 1 species